rnacentral:rRNA from 1 species
UACGGAGGGGACUAGCGUUGUUCGGAAUUACUGGGCGUAAAGCGCACGUAGGCGGAUUUGUAAGUCAGGGGUGAAAUCCCGGGGCUCAACCUCGGAACUGCCUUUGAUACUGCAAAUCUCGAGUCCGGAAGAGGUGAGUGGAAUUCCUAGUGUAGAGGUGAAAUUCGUAGAUAUCAGGAGGAACACCCGUGGCGAAAGCGGCUCUCUGGGACGGUACUGACGCUGAGACGCGAAAGCGUGGGGAGCAAACAGG